rnacentral:rRNA from 1 species
GAUUUCUGGUAGUCCGAUCUGGUCCGCUACCUUUAUGGGAGUGAGUUGCCGGAGUGUGCCUAUCAUCCUCACGGGAGUUUAAGCCUACCAUUUACUUGGCUGGGCUUAGAUUUUUGUGACAUUUACUUUGAAAAAAUUAGAGUGUUUAAAGCAGGCUUUUGCUAUUGAAUAGAUUAGCAUGGAAUAAUAAUAUAGGACUUCGUCCUUAUUUUGUUGGUUUCUAAGGAUGCAGUAAUGAUUGAUAGGGAUAGUUGGGGGUGCUCGUAUUGAGCGGCCAGAGGUGAAAUUCUUGGAUUCGCUCAAGACGAACUACUGCGAAAGCAUU